UUGCCCAACGGGGCUGUGGAUACCUGCCUUUUAAUUCUU
ensembl:misc_RNA